rnacentral:rRNA from 1 species
CAGUCGCCACGGUAAAACGAAGGGUGCAAGCGUUAAUCGGAAUUACUGGGCGUAAAGCGUGCGUAGGCGGUGAGUUAAGUCUGCUGUGAAAUCCUGGAGCUCAACUCCAGAACUGCCUUUGAUACUGUCGAUCUCGAGUCCGGAAGAGGUGAGUGGAACUCCUAGUGUAGAGGUGGAAUUCGUAGAUAUUAGGAAGAACACCAGUGGCGAAGGCGGCUCACUGGUCCGGUACUGACGCUGAGGUGCGAAAGCGUGGGGAGCAAACAGGAUUAGAUACCCCAGUAGUCCCUGUCUCUUAUAA